UAAAGUGUUACCUCAGGGGAUGGCUUGGGGACAUCUACACCUGUAUAGGCUGUCGUGGAGAUUGACAAAUGAGCGAGCCCAGGAUGCUGAAGAAAAGUAUUUUAUUUAUUUUGGAGCAUUGCUGUGAGGAUUUGACUGCAUUCAUCAAUACACCACUUCAUCACCUUUCUCACCUCUGCCUGGUUCCCUACCCUGCUUGCUGAAGAAUGAUGAAGAGGGA
rnacentral:lncRNA from 1 species